CCUUCAGAGAUAGAGGUGGAGUCUCAGGUUCAUCUAUAUGGGCACACAGGGGAAGUCACCAGCCUGUUUGUCUGCAAACCCUACAGCAUCCUCAUUAGUGUCAGCGACGACGGCACCUGCAUCCUUUGGGACCUCAACAGACUCUGUUAUGUGCAAAGCCUCACGGGUCACAAAAGCCCAGUGACGGCUGUCUCUGCAAGCGAGACCACGGGUGACAUCGCUACAGUUUGUAACUCUGAGGGUGGAGGAAGCGACCUCCGCUUGUGGACGGUGAACGGAGACCUGAUCGGUCAUGUCCACUGCAGGGAGACCAUAUGCUCUGUCGCCUUCUCCAACCAGCCAGAGGGCGUCUCCGUUAACGUCAUCGCUGGUGGUCUGGAGAACGGCGUUGU